UGCAGUCGAGCGAAUGGAUUAAGAGCUUGCUCUUAUGAAGUUAGCGGCGGACGGGUGAGUAACACGUGGGUAACCUGCCCAUAAGACUGGGAUAACUCCGGGAAACCGGGGCUAAUACCGGAUAACAUUUUGAACCGCAUGGUUCGAAAUUGAAAGGCGGCUUCGGCUGUCACUUAUGGAUGGACCCGCGUCGCAUUAGCUAGUUGGUGAGGUAACGGCUCACCAAGGCAACGAUGCGUAGCCGACCUGAGAGGGUGAUCGGCCACACUGGGACUGAGACACGGCCCAGACUCCUACGGGAGGCAGCAGUAGGGAAUCUUCCGCAAUGGACGAAAGUCUGACGGAGCAACGCCGCGUGAGUGAUGAAGGCUUUCGGGUCGUAAAACUCUGUUGUUAGGGAAGAACAAGUGCUAGUUGAAUAAGCUGGCACCUUGACGGUACCUAACCAGAAAGCCACGGCUAACUACGUGCCAGCAGCCGCGGUAAUACGUAGGUGGCAAGCGUUAUCCGGAAUUAUUGGGCGUAAAGCGCGCGCAGGUGGUUUCUUAAGUCUGAUGUGAAAGCCCACGGCUCAACCGUGGAGGGUCAUUGGAAACUGGGAGACUUGAGUGCAGAAGAGGAAAGUGGAAUUCCAUGUGUAGCGGUGAAAUGCGUAGAGAUAUGGAGGAACACCAGUGGCGAAGGCGACUUUCUGGUCUGUAACUGACACUG
rnacentral:rRNA from 1 species